rnacentral:lncRNA from 1 species
UUCCUCCUCCCACACCGCGCCGACGCCACCUCUACCUCAAACCCAAAAUCCACCAAAUCACCGCCACCUCCACAACCACCACCAUCAUCCCCCCCUUCACAAUGCCACCCAAAAUUCUUCAAAUUUUGCAGCAGUGCCCUAAUACCUCGGAUUCUUCUUCCACAGACCACAGCCUUCUACUACAAAAACUGAGGGCACAUUUUCAAGAGGUGAGCACAUAAUUCCUUGAGCUUGGUUACAUAUGAGCUUCAGUUCCAUCAUCUCUUCGUUGUCAAUCUUAGGGCAUUUACUUUUCAAACCUAAGAUGCCUCUCACUACAAACGAUGGACUUAUUUUCAAGUUUUUCCUUCUUUCCAAACCCGGAUUUAUCAAUUCAGACCGGUUACUCCUUGAAUAUGCUCUAAUAGCAUAAAUGCUGGAAAGCUAGCUGGCAUCAAAUUACCUUUUACGUGUCCAUUUGUUGCAACUUCCCAAAAUUUGUUUUUGCCACUGUCAUCCCCGGGAGUUUUAUCUUCGAUUAAAGUAGCUUUAUCUCCUUGUAAAGAGAGCAAUAAGAUGAAAAAACAAAAGUUUAGUAUUCAAAUUUCAAUUCAAAAAACAAUAAGCAGAAUGUAAAAAGUGUGUGUGUGUGUGUGUGUGUGUGUGUGUGUGAAGUUAAUUUGGGUGGCGAUUGUGAUGGGGUGGAUGAUGGUGGCCGGUAGCAAGUUGUUUUAGUUGUGGAGGUGGUCGGGUGUUUUGGGUUUGAGGUGCGGGGUGGGUGUGGGUGCGGGUGUGGGUGUGGGUGUGAGUGAGGGUGAGGGUGAGGGUGAGAAGAUGAAUGUAUCUCUCUGUGUGUUUUUUUAAUUAGUUUUUUUUUCCUUAUUUUUUAAAUUUAAUUAUUUAAUGUGAUAUAUGAAAAGUUACUCUUUUGCCCAUUUUUAAAAUAUUAAAAAUGCAAUCAAAGUGAAAUUUUUCGUCAACUGACGAAAUUGUGACCUUAUUUGAGCCAUAUUAUUUGGAAAAAGAUAUAUUCUUCAACAAUAAUUUGACAUCAUUUCAACCACACAUUCUUUAAUAAAAUAAUAUUACAAGCAAAUUCAAAUUUUUUUUUAUUUUUUAACCACACAUUUCACAUCAAUAUACUAUUCAAAAAUGCAUUUUCAUUCCAAUAAUGUAGAUCAAACAAGUGC